rnacentral:rRNA from 1 species
AUGCUAAAGGAUGAACUCCUACUUUUUCUGAUGCUAGCUCAUUGCUGCAGCCUGCUUACAUCUCCCAAGAUAUCCUCUUGGUCAAGGCAAUUGCACAUGAUGAAGCCACUCAUUUUAGUGGUAUACCACACUCUGAGCAAUAGGACCAAAAACAGGAAGAUAAAUUUUCACAAUUCGAUACUUCAUAUUUUCCAGAAGUACGUCCACCUUCUGCACAGUGCCCUUGCAUUGGUGUUCUUAUCAAAUAAGUUUCUUUCCGUAGAAUUUGUUCAGGUCUUGUCUCGCUCACACCUCAAAAUGCGAGUUUGGGAGCGCGGUGCUGGCAUAACUGAUAUCCCCCUUGAUCUUUGUUAA